GGCGAACGCUGGCGGCGUGCUUAACACAUGCAAGUCGAACGGAAAGGCCCUGCUUUUGUGGGGUGCUCGAGUGGCGAACGGGUGAGUAACACGUGAGUAACCUGCCCUUGACUUUGGGAUAACUUCAGGAAACUGGGGCUAAUACCGGAUAGGAGCUCCUGCUGCAUGGUGGGGGUUGGAAAGUUUCGGCGGUUGGGGAUGGACUCGCGGCUUAUCGGCUUGUUGGUGGGGUAGUGGCUUACCAAGGCUUUGACGGGUAGCCGGCCUGAGAGGGUGACCGGCCACAUUGGGACUGAGAUACGGCCCAGACUCCUACGGGAGGCAGCAGUGGGGAAUAUUGCACAAUGGGCGGAAGCCUGAUGCAGCAACGCCGCGUGCGGGAUGACGGCCUUCGGGUUGUAAACCGCUUUCGCCUGUGACGAAGCGUGAGUGACGGUAAUGGGUAAAGAAGCACCGGCUAACUACGUG
rnacentral:rRNA from 1 species